GAUGAACGCUGGCGGCGUGCCUAAUACAUGCAAGUCGAGCGAACAGACGAGGAGCUUGCUCCUCUGACGUUAUCGGCGGACGGGUGAUUAACACGUGGAUAACCUACCUAUAAGACUUGGAUAACUUCGGGAAACCUGUGCUAAUACCGGAUAAUAUAUUGUACCGCAUGGUUCAUUUGUUAUAUACGUUUUUUCUUUCUCUUAUAGAUUUAUCCGCGCCGCAUUAGCUAGUUGGUAAGGUAACUGCUUACCAAGGCAACGAUUCGUAGCCGACCUGAGAGGGAGAGCGGCCACACUGGAAGUGAGACACGGAACAGACGACGAAGGGAGGCAGCAGUAGGGAAUAGUACGCAAUGGGCGAAAGCAUGACGGAGCAAAGCCGAGUGAGUGAUGAAGGUCUUCGGAUCGUAAAACUCUGUUAUUAGGGAAGAAAAAAUGUGUAAGUAAAUAUGCACGUAUUGACGGUAACUAAUCAGAAAGCAACGGCUAACUACGUG
rnacentral:rRNA from 1 species